GGGGGUGUAGCUCAGUGGUGGGGUGCUUGUCUAGCAUGCAUAAGGCCCUGGAUUCAAUCCCCAAUACCACCA
rnacentral:tRNA from 1 species